GACGAACGCUGGCGGCGUGCCUAAUACAUGCAAGUCGAGCGGAUCUUCAUUAGCUUGCUUUUGAAGAUCAGCGGCGGACGGGUGAGUAACACGUGGGCAACCUGCCUGUAAGACUGGGAUAACUUCGGGAAACCGGAGCUAAUACCGGAUAAUCCUUUUCCUCUCAUGAGGAAAAGCUGAAAGACGGUUUCGGCUGUCACUUACAGAUGGGCCCGCGGCGCAUUAGCUAGUUGGUGAGGUAACGGCUCACCAAGGCGACGAUGCGUAGCCGACCUGAGAGGGUGAUCAGCCACACUGGGACUGAGACACGGCCCAGACUCCUACGGGAGGCAGAAGUAGGGAAUCUUCCGCGAUGGACGAAAGUCUGACGGAGCAACGCCGCGUGAGCGAUGAAGGCCUUCGGGUCGUAAAGCUCUGUUGUCAGGGAAGAACAAGUACCGGAGUAACUGCCGGUACCUUGACGGUACCUGACCAGAAAGCCACGGCUAACUACGUGCCAGCAGCCGCCGUAACAC
rnacentral:rRNA from 1 species